GACGAACGCUGGCGGCGUGCUUAACACAUGCAAGUCGAACGGUAAGGCCCUUCGGGGUACACGAGUGGCGAACGGGUGAGUAACACGUGGGUGCUCUGCCCUGCACUUCGGGAUAAGCCUGGGCAACUGGGUCUAAUACCGGAUAGGACCACUGCCUGCAUGGGUGGUGGUGGAAAGCUUUUGUGGUGUGGGAUGGGCCCGCGGCCUAUCAGCUUGUUGGUGGGGUGAUGGCCUACCAAGGCGACGACGGGUAGCCGGCCUGAGAGGGUGACCGGCCACACUGGGACUGAGAUACGGCCCAGACUCCUACGGGAGGCAGCAGUGGGGAAUAUUGCACAAUGGGCGCAAGCCUGAUGCAGCGACGCCGCGUGAGGGAUGACGGCCUUCGGGUUGUAAACCUCUUUCAGCACCGACGAAGCGCAAGUGACGGUAGGUGCAGAAGAAGGACCGGCCAACUACGUGCCAGCAGCCGCAGUAA
rnacentral:rRNA from 1 species